UACAACAUAGUGUUAAUGCACCAGAUCCCAUUAGAACUCUGGAGUUAAGCACGCUCAUGCUAGAGUAGUAUUGGUAUGGGUGCCCACUCGAGAAUUCCCAGUGUUUUAC
rfam:Picea glauca, whole genome shotgun sequence.